UCCGAAACCCUGGCGGCGUGCCUAAUACAUGCAAGUCGAGCGGACAGAUGGGAGCUUGCUCCCUGAUGUUAGCGGCGGACGGGUGAGUAACACGUGGGUAACCUGCCUGUAAGACUGGGAUAACUCCGGGAAACCGGGGCUAAUACCGGAUGGUUGUUUGAACCGCAUGGUUCAAACAUAAAAGGUGGCUUCGGCUACCACUUACAGAUGGACCCGCGGCGCAUUAGCUAGUUGGUGAGGUAACGGCUCACCAAGGCAACGAUGCGUAGCCGACCUGAGAGGGUGAUCGGCCACACUGGGACUGAGACACGGCCCAGACUCCUACGGGAGGCAGCAGUAGGGAAUCUUCCGCAAUGGACGAAAGUCUGACGGAGCAACGCCGCGUGAGUGAUGAAGGUUUUCGGAUCGUAAAGCUCUGUUGUUAGGGAAGAACAAGUACCGUUCGAAUAGGGCGGUACCUUGACGGUACCUAACCAGAAAGCCACGGCUAACUACGUGCCAGCCGCCGCGGUAAUACA
rnacentral:rRNA from 1 species